rnacentral:rRNA from 1 species
AUUGAACGCUGGCGGCAUGCCUUACACAUGCAAGUCGAACGGUAACGGGCCUUCGGGUGCCGACGAGUGGCGAACGGGUGAGUAAUACAUCGGAACGUGCCCGAUCGUGGGGGAUAACGCGGCGAAAGCUUUGCUAAUACCGCAUACGAUCUACGGAUGACAGCAGGGGACCGCAAGGCCUUGCGCGGACGGAGCGGCCGAUGGCAGAUUAGGUAGUUGGUGGGAUAAAAGCUUACCAAGCCGACGAUCUGUAGCUGGUCUGAGAGGAUGAUCAGCCACACUGGGACUGAGACACGGCCCAGACUCCUACGGGAGGCAGCAGUGGGGAAUUUUGGACAAUGGGCGCAAGCCUGAUCCAGCCAUGCCGCGUGCAGGAUGAAGGCCUUCGGGUUGUAAACUGCUUUUGUACGGAACGAAAAGCCUUCUUUUAAUACAGGAGGGUCAUGACGGUACCGGAAGAAUAAGCACCGGCUAACUACGUG